rnacentral:tRNA from 1 species
GAGAAAGUUCCAAGAACUGCUAACUCUUGAUCCCAUAUAUAAUAAAUAUGGCUUUCUCA